AUUUUAGCAUAGGCUAUAUUCGUCACUUACAUAUACAUUGCAAAGUAUGGCUAUUGGUAUAAAAGUCGUUAAGUUUUCAAACAAUUGUUGGUUUUACCAUUUGAUGUGCUUUGGACUCUAUUAAACAAUUGUUGGUUUUACCAUUUGAUUUGUUUUGACUCUUUUAAAGCCGGAUAUUUAAUAGAGUCUAUUAAAGCCGGAUAUUUAGGUAACCAACAGGUUACCGGUUACACAACGUAAGGUUACACUCUUACGUUGGCUUCAAUCCCCACCCACCGUCAUCUUCAUCCCCAAACCUCCUUUGUCCUCUUCUUCUCUUCGCUCUUAUCUUCUGAAUCUAACCUCAUGUGCGAUGAAUCGAUCCAUGAUGGUCUCCUUUCUUCUUCUUCUCUUCUGAAUUGAACCCCAACAUAAACCCGAUUCAGACCUUGAAGAUUAGGGCAUGUGACUGAUCAGACUUUUCUUCCUCCAUGAAAUUCGAUUCAGACAUUGGGUGAUGAACAGAUCGAUCUCCUCCACCAUCUUUCCCUUUCGAUUUUCCAUAUUGAUAUGAGGAGCUACCUUACUGCCGUCAUGCUCACAUACAUCAGAUUACAUCAUUGGAACAUGAAUCAGAGUAAAGGGGUUCAUCACCUUCAUCACCCAAUUCAGACCUUGGAGUCAAGAUGACCAUGGUGAAUAGGGUGAAGAAGAGGAGAGUGUUACCGGAGCUAGGUUUAGAUAUGGGCAAGAAUGGGAGGUGGUAGUGAACAAUAUCAAUAUAGUUAUGGUAGCGGUGGUUGAUUUCAAUGAUGGUAUCAGUGGUGGAUUUCAGGUUUGAUGUUUUUGGAAAACAUGAUGACCAAAGAGAAUAGGGGAUGAAGAAGACAAUACAACGGUGGUGAGGGGCUACUGUGUGCACCAUUAGUUAUGGAGAAUAGAGAUGGUGAUGGGUUAGAUGAGGAGAGUUUGAAUAUUUAUAGAUACAAAUUUCGAUUUGCAGGUGGGAAGGUAAUGGAAAUGGAGAUGAUUUUAGGCAUCUAUAGGGUCGUUUGAUAGUUGCUGACUAAGAAAGUGCUGAUUGAGAAAGGUCUGUCUGAGUAAUAAGUUCUGACUGAGUAAGAAACUAUGCUGUUUGAUUAUA